GGAAGAAACCAGAAAUGUGUUGGUCCAACCACCCAUUCCUGAAAAAACACAUAAUGUGCCCAAAAACCUCAUCACUCCCCGCUCUGACUCACUCCUAUCAUGUCCUUUCUCUUCUCAACUAAGAACCUCUUUUUUCCCCUUAAACCUACAAUUUUUACCUUCCUGUUCUGAAAGUAAACCACAGAAAAAUGUAUGUGGUGCUACCACCCCAUGGAUCGGAUCCGGCGGUGGGUCGGGUGAUUUAUGGGUUUACCAAACUUGGAAAGGCAACAAUAUAAGACUCUCCUUUUUUUACUAUUUAAUCCUUUUUUCUAGAGGCAAACGUGUAAAUGUUAAGGAGGAUGAAUUAGGAGAAUUGACUCCAAAAACUAGUACAGCAGAUGAGAUGGGUGACCAUGCUGGUAUACAUCGCAGACGGUCUAACUGAGGUAGAAAAAGUGGCAGCUGGGAAAUGUCGUUGGAAGUUGUUUAUUUGGCAGCUAGAGUGGGGGACUCAAGUCGAGCAGUUGGGAGUAGCAGCAGGAGCUUGGCAACUUAGAAGCCUUAGCAAUAACCAAUGAUGAAAUAUCAAGUGGCAAAUAUGGAAAUCAUUGCUAAGGUUGCUUAACAUGCUCCCUUAGUGUUGUGCUUUAUGCGGAGAAAUGUUUUGAGCCUUGUACUCUGAGGAAGAACAGAGCUGGUGUGGUGUGGUAUAAGAGUGAGGUUUGAUUUUAUAUUUGUGGAAUUACUUGUUCCUAAUUGUGUGGUGUGGUAUAAGAGUGAGGUUUGAUUUUAUAUUUGUGGAAUUACUUGUUCCUAAUUGUGUAUUUGACCUUGUGGAUUCAUUUUAGUGUCUUAUAGUGUUCAUUUCUCCUUUUUCUCUCUCUUUGUGAGAUUAUGUACAUUGACGGGGUGUUGCUGAUUGGCAAGGUUGGCAAUGGCAGAUGGGCUAUCAGUGGGUCAACAAUCCCACAAAGGCAGCUGUCUCAAUGCCAUCCUGAUGACACCUUCAUCUUUUACAUGAACCAAAAUGAUCUAUACAUAGCAUACAUUUGAGA